rnacentral:rRNA from 1 species
UACAGAGGUCUCAAGCGUUGUCCGGAAUCACUGGGCGUAAAGGGCGCGUAGGUGGCUUGGUAAGCGUGUGGUGAAAGUCCGGGGCUCAACCCCGGAUCUGCCGUGCGAACUGCCGAGCUCGAGCAUUGUAGAGGCAGGUGGAAUUCCGGGAGUAGCGGUGGAAUGCGUAGAGAUCCGGAAGAACACCAGUGGCGAAGGCGGCCUGCUGGGCAAUAGCUGACACUGAGGCGCGACAGCGUGGGGAGCAAACAGG